UACGUAGGGCGCAAGCGUUAUCCGGAAUUAUUGGGCGUAAAGAGCUCGUAGGCGGUUUGUCGCGUCGGCCGUGAAAACCUGGGGCUCAACUCUGGGCGUGCGGUCGAUACGGGCAUCACUUGAGUUCGGCAGGGGAGACUGGAAUUCCUGGUGUAGCGGUGAAAUGCGCAGAUAUCAGGAGGAACACCGGUGGCGAAGGCGGGGUCUCUGGGGCCGAUACUGACGUGAGGAGCGAAAGCAUGGGUAGCGAACAGG
rnacentral:rRNA from 1 species